GACAGAGGAGGCAAGCGUUGUCCGGAUUGACUGGGCGUAAAGCGUCCGCAGGUGGUCGCGCAAGUGCGCUGUGAAAGCGGCCCGCUCAACGGGCCGAGGCCAGCGCAGACUGCGCAACUCGAGGUCGGGAGAGGUCGGUGGAAUUGCCGGUGUAGUGGUGAAAUGCGUAGAGAUCAGGAGGAACACCGGUGGCGAAGGCGGUUCUCUGGGCAUGUCCUGACGCUGAGGAGCGAAAGUGUGGGGAGCGAACAGG
rnacentral:rRNA from 1 species